CCCUUAGAUGUCCUGGGCUGCACGCGCGCUACACUGAUGUGUCCAGUAAGCACCUAACCUAUUCCGAGAGGAGCGGGUAACCUUAGCAAAGCACAUCGUGAUGGGGAUAGAUUAUUGCAAUUAUUAGUCUUGAACGAGGAAUUCCAAGUAAGCACAAGUCAUCAGCUUGUGUUGAUUACGUCCCUGCCCUUUGUACACACCGCCCGUCGCUCCUACCGAUUGAAUGUUCCGGUGAGCUCUUCGGACUGCGCGGUCUGCAGUUUCUGCGUUCCGUGCGGAAAGUUGUGCAAACCUUAACAUUUAGAGGAAGGAGAAGUCGUAACA
rnacentral:rRNA from 1 species